rnacentral:rRNA from 1 species
AGAACGAACGCUGGCGGCAUGCCUAACACAUGCAAGUCGAACGAGACCUUCGGGUCUAGUGGCGCACGGGUGCGUAACGCGUGGGAAUCUACCCUUGGGUUCGGAAUAACAGUUGGAAACGACUGCUAAUACCGGAUGAUGUCGCAAGACCAAAGAUUUAUCGCCCAAGGAUGAGCCCGCGUAGGAUUAGCUAGUUGGUGAGGUAAAGGCUCACCAAGGCGACGAUCCUUAGCUGGUCUGAGAGGAUGAUCAGCCACACUGGACUGAGACACGGCCCAGACUCCUACGGGAGCAGCAGUAGGGAAUAUUGGACAAUGGGCGAAAGUCUAGAUCCAGCAAAUGACCGCGUGAGUAGAUGGAAGCUUAGGUUGUAAGUCUCUUUUACCCGGGAUGAAUAAUGACUAGUAACCGGAGAAUAA